CGAUUAGGUAGUUGCUGGGGUAACGUCCCAACAAGCCUAUAAUCGGUACGGGUUGUGAGAGCAAGAGCCCGGAGAUGGAUUCUGAGACACGAAUCCAGGUCCUACGGGGCGCAGCAGGCGCGAAAACUUUACACUGCGCGAAAGCGCGAUAAGGGGACCUCGAGUGCGUGCGCAAUGCGUACGCUUUUCAGAUGCCUAAAAAGCAUCUGGAAUAAGGGCCGGGCAAGACCGGUGCCAGCCGCCGCGGUAACACCGGCGGCUCAAGUGGUGGCCGCUAUUAUUGGGCUUAAAGGGUCCGUAGCCGGACCAGUUAGUCCCUUGGGAAAUCUUACGGCUUAACCGUAAGGCUGCCAAUGGAUACUGCUGGUCUUGGGACCGGGAGAGGCAAGAGGUACCUCAGGGGUAGGAGUGAAAUCCUGUAAUCCUUGAGGGACCGCCAGUGGCGAAGGCGUCUUGCUAGAACGGGUCCGACGGUGAGGGACGAAAGCUAGGGGCACGAACCGGAUUAGAUACCCGGGUAGUCCUAGCCAUAAACGAUGCGAGCUAGGUGUCACGUGGAUUGCGAAUCCAUGUGGUGCCGAAGGGAAACCGUGAAGCUCGCCGCCUGGGAAGUACGGCCGCAAGGCUGAAACUUAAAGGAAUUGGCGGGGGAGCAC
rnacentral:rRNA from 1 species